AGGGUGUAUGGGGGAUGUCUAGGUGUCGAGAGGCGAUGAAGGACGUGGCAGACUGCGAUAAGUUCAGGGCAGGUGUCGAGCAACCGUUAAUCCUGAAAUGUCCGAAUGGGGAAACCCGUUCCCAAGAAAUUGGGAUCAUCUCCGGCUGAAUUCAUAGGCCGGUUGAAGCGAACGCAGGGAACUGAAACAUCUCAGUACCUGUAGGAAAGGAAAUCAAUUGAGACUCCGUCAGUAGCGGCGAGCGAAAGCGGAUCAGCCUAAACCGAUCUUCGGGUCGGUGUUACGGGCAUUGGUUAGGAGUUACAAAGGCAUCGCAAGUCAAAUCAGCUGGAAAGCUGAGCCGUAGAAGGUGAUAGCCCUGUAGAUAAAAGCGAGAGCCCUCCGUUAUGCCAGUGUUCCAAAGUAGCACGGAGCCCGUGAAACUCCGUGCGAANNGGGGAGACCACUCUCCAAGGCUAAGUACUACUCGACAACCGAUAGUGAAAAAGUAGCGCGAGCGAAAGAUGAAAAGAACCCCUAUUAGGGGAGUUAAAAGGACCUGAAACCAUACACUUACCAGUUGCGGGAGGGCUAUGACAUUUCUUCGGAAAUGUAAUGCCUGACCACGUGCCUUUUGCAUAAUGAGCCGGCGAGUUAUCGUUUGUGGCAAGGUUAAUCCCUUCAAGGGAGUAGCCGUAGCGAAAGCGAGUCUGAAUAGGGCGCAAGUCGCAGGUGAUAGACGCGAAACUACGUGAUCUACGCAUGGCCAGGUUGAAGGGGAUGUAAAAGUCUCUGGAGGACCGAACUCAUUAACGUUGAAAAGUUAUGGGAUGAGCUGUGCGGAGGAGUAAAAGUCUAAUCAAACGUGGAGAUAUCUCGUACUCUCCGAAAUAGCUUUUGGGCUAGCCUCGAGUAAAAUAUUUGACGGGGGUAGAGCUACUGAAUGGGGAUAAGGAGCUACCCGCUUGCUUACCCCAACCAAACUCCGAAUACCGUUAAAUUUACCUCGGGAGUCAGACUGCGGGUGAUAACAUUCAUGGUCAAAAGGGAAACAACCCUAACCGCCAGCUAAGGUCCCGAAUUUGAGCUAAGUUCAUAAGGAAGUCGGAUUGCAUAGACAGUCAGGAUGUUGGCUUAGAAGCAGCCACCAUUUAAAAAGUGCGUAAUAGCUUACUGACCGAGCAAUUCGGUGCCGAGAAUGAACGGGAAUAAGCACAAAACCGAAGCUGCGGAUUUUACUAUUGCCUUCGGGCAAUAGCAAAGUGGUAGGAGAGCAUAGCAGUCAGCAUUGAAGCGAUACGAAAACGAAUCGUGGAGCGGCUGCUAGAGAUUAUGCCGGCAUGAGUAACGAUAAAACAGGUGAGAAUCCUGUUCGCCGUAAACCUAAGGUUUCCUGGGGAAGGUAAAUCCGCCCAGGGUUAGUCGGCCCCUUAGUCGAGGCUGAAAGGCGUAGACGAUGGACAGCAGGUUAAUAUUCCUGCACUAUGUUGGUGGACGAAGACAGUGACGCAUUUUAAAAAUUCAUCCCGUGAUUAGUCGUGCGGGUUCCGCAAGGUCGAGGUCGUUUUUCGUUACCGAAGUGAAUAGAUAAAAUGCCAAGAAAUAACUGUCGUAGGACGAAGCCAAUGUAACCGUACUAAAACUGACACAGGUAGGUGAGGAUAAAUGUCCUCAGGCGCUCGAGAUAACCGUUCUUAAGGAACUAGGCAAUUUGACCCCGUACGUUCGCAAUAAGGGGUCCCUCCAAGCUAAUGUAACAGUUGGCUUGAGGGCGCAGGGAAAUGGCUCUGGCGACUGUUUAUCAAAAACACAGUUCUGUGCUAACACUUANNAAGCUGGCGACCGAAGCCCCGGUAAACAGCGGCCGUAACUAUGACGGUCCUAAGGUAGCGAAGUUCCUUGUCGGGUAAGUUCCGACGUGCAUGAACCGCGUAACGACUGGAGCAGUGUCUCAAGGACGGACUCGGUGAAAUUAUACUUGUGGUGAAGAUACCACAUACCCGCAGCAAGACGGAAAGACCCCGUGAACCUUUACUGUAACCUGGUACUGACACCUGUCAUAUCAUGCGUAGGAUAGGUAGGAGGCUUUGAUCCGGCGCUUCUGGGCGUCGGGGAGCCAUCGUUGAAAUACUACCCUUGCUAUGUUAGUUGUCUAACCGUGACCCGUGAAUCCGGGCAUGGAACAAUGCUAGGCGGGCAGUUUGACUGGGGCGGUCUUCUCCCAAAGUGUAACGGAGAAGUUCAAAGGUACCCUCAGCGUGGUUGGCAAUCACGCGUAGAGCGCAAAGGUAUAAGGGUGCUUAACUGCGAGACCAAUAAGUCGAGCAGAUACGAAAGUAGGACUUAGUGAUCCGGUGGUUCUGAGUGGAAGGGCCAUCGCUCAUCAGACAAAAGGUACUCUGGGGAUAACAG
rnacentral:rRNA from 1 species